CCUGGAAACACAAGUACUUCCCUCUUCACCCAGAGGGUAUGCAAAGUCAAGCUUAAUUCCCUGGAAUUCCCACUAAAGAAAAACUCCAACAGGUCUAAAAAAGAAAGCUUUAUAAGAAGAAAGAAAAAUACAUAAAAAUGGUCUCUCUGUAUUAAGGUGACAAAUACAGGGUCAAUUGCUUAAAAGAAAUAUGAAUAAACAGCCUUAUCCACAAAGAAUACAAUUUAACACAUUCCAGCAACUACACACAUGUAAAUACAAAAAACAAACAAUAUAAA